CAAUAAAUCAACGGACUGAAUUCCUCCCGCAGUCUAACGCUGUUUUCUGUGCUUUUGGCGUUGCAGUCUGAUGAAAGAUUACUUCUACAGACCUCCCAUCAACAAGCUGAGCCACACGUUCAUAGACAGAUCCCUGGAGUCGGCUUACAGGACCAGCUACCAGGACGAGGUCAAGACUCAAACUCCUGUGCAGACGUUUGCCAGCCCGACGUUCAGCUCUUUCCUGGACAUGCUGCUGUGCUGUUGCGUGUUUCUGGCUCUUUCUCUGGCCUGUUUCCUGCGACCGCUGGUUACCCAUCAGCCCCUGCCCACACCAGCGCUCAUAGUGGCCGCGGUGGCAGCGCUGCUCGAGUGUUUGGCUCUAAUACUCGCUAUACGGUCAGUGGCUAGAAUAUGAGCAUUGACUACGCCUUCUUCCUACACCCCAUGAUGCAUUGCGGGAAUUAUGAGCGGAUUAACUGUGAACAAUCAGCAAUUCCGUUGUAUUAUUAGCACUUCGACGGCAUGAUGGCUCAGUGGUUAGCACUGUCGCCUCACAACAAGAAGGUCACUGGUUUAAGUCUCAGCAGGGCCAGUUGGUAUUUCUGUGUGGAGUUUGCAUGUUCUCCUCGUGUUGGCGUAGGUUUCCUUCAGGUGCUCCGGUUUCCCCCACAGUCCAAAGACAUGCUCUAUAGGUGAAUUGGAUGACCUAUCUUGGCUGUAGUGUAUGAGUGUGUAUGGGUGUUUCCCAAAAAUGGGUUACAGCUGGAAGGGCAUCUGCUGUGCAAAACAUACUAUAUGGUGGAUAAAUUGGCGGUUCAUUCCACUGUGGCGUCCCCUAAUGAGGGACUAAGCCGAAGGAAAGCGAAUGAAUGAAAAUGGGGUGUGCUCAUUUAUGUUGAGCACUGUAUUUCCUGUUUGAGCCCGGGUUGGGAUAUAGUGUUGCUGCACAGCUCUGAUUCAGAUGUGUAUUCCUCUGUGUGUUUUACAGGAGAGCGUUUUAUCUGGACAGUGUGCUGAACUGCACCAGGACGCUCCUCUGGGUCAUUUCCGGCUGGAUUCCCCGGCACAUGAUCGGGGCAGUGCUGGUGUCUUUACCAGCCAUCGCCGUCUUUUCACACAUCACCUGCAAUAUGCACGACUCCAUACAGUUCACCAUGUUCACCUGCUGUGCCGUCAUCAUCGCCAUCAUCCAGUACUGCAAUUUCUGUCAGCUCAGUUUCUGGAUGCGCUCAAGCCUGGCCACGCUGGCGGGACUCACCUUUCUAAGUGUGCUCUGGAGCCCUCCGUGCAGGUUCACACCAAUCACACACCAAUAUUAUACACCUGACUAUCCCAC
rnacentral:lncRNA from 1 species